rnacentral:rRNA from 1 species
CCUACGGGAGGCUGCAGUGAGGAAUAUUGGUCAAUGGGCGCGAGCCUGAACCAGCCAAGUAGCGUGAAGGAUGACUGCCCUACGGGUUGUAAACUUCUUUUAUAAAGGAAUAAAGUGAGGCACGUGUGCCUUUUUGUAUGUACUUUAUGAAUAAGGAUCGGCUAACUCCGUGCCAGCAGCCGCGGUAAUACGGAGGAUCCGAGCGUUAUCCGGAUUUAUUGGGUUUAAAGGGAGCGUAGAUGGGUUGUUAAGUCAGUUGUGAAAGUUUGCGGCUCAACCAUAGAAUUGCCGUUGAAACUGGGGGGCUUGAGUAUGUUUGAGGCAGGCGGAAUGCGUGGUGUAGCGGUGAAAUGCUUAGAUAUCACGAAGAACUCCGAUUGCGAAGGCAGCUUACUAAACUGCCACUGACAUUGAUGCUCGAAAGUGUGGGUAUCAAACAGGAUUAGAUACCCGAGUAGUC